rnacentral:rRNA from 1 species
UUUAGAAUCAGAACUCAAAUCCAAGUGCCCGCAUUGUCAAUGUAAGUAUGCGCCAAAUAGAGUUCGAGAACCAGAUCAAGUUAAAAACAAGAAUGAUGAAAUUUUAUUGGCCUGUGGAGA